rnacentral:lncRNA from 1 species
CAUUAAAUUAAAUAUCUUAUUUUAGGCCGGAUGUGUUUAAUGGGUCAUAAGGGGUUUAAUGGGACCAUCACGGGCAUUAUUUUUCGCUGGCAAAGGCUCUUGGGGACGACUGCAAUAAAUCUAGAACAAUUCCAGGAAACUCGUAAGUAUUCGUGUCUCGUGAUGCUAUUUAUUCAUGAAAUUUACAACAGUUUGCUUCCAAAUUAGCGAAAGAUUCUUGGAGUUUACCACAAUUUAAAAUAACUGUCACACUAGUACAGUAUCAUAGUCCUAAAUUCAUAUAUUUGCAGGCAAACACGUGCAUUCAUGUCGACAUUCUAGGAAAUCUACUGCUAUUAGUAGCUUUCAGUAAGCGUGCAUGGCAGUAAAUGGUGGUCAAUUUCAGAACAGCUGACACUUAUUAUUGGAACAUGAGCGUAAUAUUAUACUAUACAUCUCAAUUCUAUUUAAUUACUAUGUAUACUAAAUACCUCUGAUAAACUGCAGGUUGACCACCAUCUAUUAGGUGGCGAAGGGCUCUCGGUGUUUGCCAAAUUUUGAAAUGGUACAAACUCGUUAUAGUGCAAAACGAGAAUAAAGCAAGGUGUUAUAUCCGAAGAGAAUUAGUCUGCGCACAGACUGUCCCCCCCCCCCCCCCCCGUGGCAAUCUCGUACCCAGAAUUUAGAAUUUAUUCUGUGCUGUGAUUGGUUUACCGUUUAUCAGUAAUGCAUGCCGACAAAGAACCGGAACCCCUAGGGGUUCCGGUUGUUUAUUUCCC